rnacentral:rRNA from 1 species
CCUACGGGAGGCUGCAGUGAGGAAUAUUGGUCAAUGGGCGGAAGCCUGAACCAGCCAAGUCGCGUGAGGGAAUAAGGCCCUACGGGUCGUAAACCUCUUUUGCCGGGGGGCAAGGGCGGGGACGUGUCCCUGCUCGGAGAGUACCCGUAGAAAAAGCAUCGGCUAACCCCGGGCCAGCAGCCGCGGUAAUACGGAGGAUGCGAGGGUUAUCGGGAUUUAUUGGGUUUAAGGGGUGCGUAGGCGGGCUUUUAAGUCAGCGGUAAAAAUUCGGGGCUAAACCCCGUCGGGCGGUUGAAACUGGGGGCCUUGAGUGGGCGGGAGGAAGGCGGAAUGCGUGGUGUAGCGGUGAAAUGCAUAGAUAUCACGCAGAACCCCGAUUGCGAAGGCAGCCUUCCGGAGCCCUACUGACGCUGAGGCACGAAAGUGCGGGGAUCGAACAGGAUUAGAUACCCUGGUAGUC